UACGGAGGGGGCUAGCGUUGUUCGGAAUUACUGGGCGUAAAGCGCGCGUAGGCGGCUUUGUAAGUUAGAGGUGAAAGCCCGGAGCUCAACUUCGGAAUUGCCUUUAAGACUGCAUCGCUUGAAUCAUGGAGAGGUCAGUGGAAUUCCGAGUGUAGAGGUGAAAUUCGUAGAUAUUCGCAAGAACACCAGUGGCGAAGGCGGCUCACUGGCCCGAUACUGACGCUGAGGCACGAAAGCGUGGGGAGCAAACAGG
rnacentral:rRNA from 1 species